rnacentral:misc_RNA from 1 species
ACUGCCAGUGUUCAGCAGGGAGUUCAAAUACCUGUUGAUGUAUCCGAUAAAAUUGUGGUCGACGGUCAGUUAAGUACCGAUUUGGAAGAUGGUCUCAAACAGCCAACAGAGAUAGAGUCUGAGGCAGUGGCUGAAGUAACCUCACCUGGAUCUGGGAAAGCAAGUUCUGAAGAACUUGUCGAGCAUUCGGUUGAGGAUAUCUCAUCAAACGCUGUAACAUCAGUAGAUCAACCGAUUGAUUCAGAGGCGAUCAACGUGGGAGCAGAGAAG